AUGAAAUCCCGACUGUACCUGGCAGUGUCUGGGAAUCCCUCGCCGGCACCGAUCAUAAUCCCCCUGCGCGCCUCUGGCCCCCCAAACCAAAACUUUGCCGCCGCUCCUGGCCGGUGGCCGCCGCCCGCCGCGGCCGCCGAGCGCCGCUCCCGGCCGGCCCCGAGGGCCCCGCUCCCCGCCGGCCGCCGCCGCCGCACCGGAGCGGCCCCCGCGCCUCCCGCGCCUUCCUCCGCCCUUACGAGGCAGCGGCAUCGUCCUCCCCCCUUCUCCGCCACCUCCUCCUCCGGCGCGCAGCCCGCGGCUCUGGCAUCCCCAACGCACUUUCUCGCCUCGGUUCGCUCCUCUUUUCCCCGCCGCUCCUCCUUCUCCGGCAAAAAAAAAAAAAAAAAAAAAAAGGAAAAAAAAAUGGAGAAAAAAAAAAGGGGGGGACACGAGUACGCCCGGUCUUGGGGUUGCUUUCUUUCUCUUUUCUCUCUCUGUCCUCUGGAAACGGUGAGAGGAUCACAGGAUCACAUGAGGAGCUGGCACGGAGACCCAGGACCCUUGGAAGUCGGAGGUGGCAUCGGACACAUAUCUGCCAAUGAUCACCAUCACCCCAAGGUUUCUCUCAAGGAAAGGAGGAAGGAAAUUUACUUUCCAAGCAGCUGUCCAGCCGGUCACUUGACCCUGACACCCACCGAUGACUCCGAGGAACACCCCGCUGCAGCGGUUAAAUGCCUCGUAAUUUCCUUUCUUCUCUUUCCCCCGGCGGCUCCGGCGCAACGCCACCGAGCGAUCUUAUCGCCGUGUGAUCAUUAUUCACCGGUGACAACCAGAGAUGCUGAGCUCCUAAGUGAGGGCGACAGAUUUCAAGCGCGGGGCUGCGGCGUGCCCAGCCUCAGACAUAUUCUUCCUCAAACUUUGCCUAGCAAGCAAGCCGGCGGCUUAACCCUUUGCAGCCCCUUCUGUCGCACGGGCACCGGGACCUCAGCGCACGGGGGUGCGCGUACUCGCGAGCAGCCGCAGCACAGGCGGCCGCGGGGCUGGGGACGUUUUAUUACGUGUCAUUUUCGAUUCUCGAUGAUUUUCAAUUGAAACAAAUCAGAACCGCCAACUCUGGGGAGCAGUUGGAGAGCUGAGUACUGCUCCUCUGCGGUUAGGGACUGGAAAAAAUCCUCUCGGCAAAGCAGAUCUCAUGGGGACUCACCUGCCGUCCCUACUUUGUCACCGAGUCUGGUGUGGAAACUGUCACAUGCGGCGUAUGGAAACCUCUCACAUGAGCGUAUACAGAGCUGCUGCACUUUCCUCAGCUUGAUGUGGCUAAAAGUACAUAUCUGAAAGUGCUAUUUCACUCAGACCCUCGGAUUCAUCUCGUUUACAGGUUACUAAUAACAGCAGAGAAAGGAGCAAGCAGCAUAUUUCCACGGAGAAAAAAAAAAAAAAAAAGUCUUUUUCACACAUGCACUUUGUAGUCAAAGGAAAUAUUUACCACCACCAAACUCCAGCAAGUCAGAACGAUGAGAAAAGCAAAAAAAAGCAGAAGAAAGCCUUAAAAUGAAGAAAAAAAAAAAAAGUGCAAUUCAAAGAUGAAAUGAAGUGCACGAAAGCUUUCCAAACUCAGUACCACCAGCUCGGAGCCUGAUGUCAAGACAACGCUGUAGCGCUGUAAUGCGAAGUUGUAGAGAGGACAAAAGGAAAUCAACGAACUCCAUUGGCUUUCUAAUAUUCAUAUAUAUAUCUUUUCAGUAAGUUGUGAUGACUGUCACGCUUCCCUGUCUUCUCCCCUCCGCCCCCCCCACCAAAAAAAAAAAAAAAGGGGGGGGGGAGGAUGGGGAGGAUGCUCUAACUGCAGCUGAACGCCACUGAGAGCCUCGAGGUGGGAUGGAGCACUCAGAGCUCCUACCAGAGCCCCCCUGGUCACACAGUGUGGAAGGACACAGAGGCAGACACGGUGCGUGUGGAGGAGGAUCUGAGUUCUAUCUUUAUUGAAGGUGUUAAGACUGGCCAAGGAUGAAAAAUCCUGUAAUAAGCAAAGGGGUAGGAAAAAAAAAAAAAAAAAACUGACUGCUCGCUCUCCCACAUUUCUGAACUUCGAAUUAAAGCGUGACAGGCGAAUAAACCUCCUUAGAAGAACA
rnacentral:lncRNA from 1 species